rnacentral:rRNA from 1 species
AGCGAACGCUGGCGGCAGGCCUAACACAUGCAAGUCGAACGAAGUCUUCGGACUUAGUGGCGGACGGGUGAGUAACACGUGGGAACGUACCUUUUGGUUCGGAACAACUCAGGGAAACUUGAGCUAAUACCGGAUGAGCCCUUAGGGGGAAAGAUUUAUCGCCGAAAGAGCGGCCCGCGUUAGAUUAGCUAGUUGGUGAGGUAAAGGCUCACCAAGGCUGCGAUCUAUAGCUGGUCUGAGAGGAUGAUCAGCCACACUGGGACUGAGACACGGCCCAGACUCUUACGGGAGGCAGCAGUGGGGGAUUUUGCGCAAUGGGCGAAAGCCUGACGCAGCCAUGCCGCGUGAAUGAUGAAGGUCUUAGGAUUGUAAAAUUCUUUUACCAGGGACGAUAAUGACGGUACCUGGAGAAAAAGCCCCGGCUAACUUCGUGCCAGCCGCCGCCGUAAGAC